UUUAGAUUUAACAAUGUGGUAGUGGAUGAGAUGGGAGACAUGCUCUAAGUGUUCAAAAUGAAAAACACCAGAACACAACCGUUAUUUUAUGAAAGAGGCUGGAAAAUGCAAGUGAUAUCUAAGCAGAGUUCUGUGCUCUGACAGUUUCAGUAAUCCCCAAAGAGAGAGGAGCACACCACAGGAACAAGAACAGUAUCUCCAGGUCUACACUUGCCUUUGCCAAUCCGUAGUGAUGGGAGAUCCACUGAAGUCAUCUCAUGAUGUGUGUUGUCGGGCUAUUUAAAGGCUGCUGUUUCACUUCCAAACUUCACUCCCUUCUGACGUCUUCAGUGCUGUUCACUUGGCAACCUUGGCUACUCUUCAGCAGAUAAUUUGUACUCUACAUAAGCAUUUAGAAGAACCCAGAGUUAAACCAAGGAUAAGAGUCAUCGGUAACAUUUAUAGUUACUGAACUCCUCACUAUGUGUCACAAAGUGGGUCAGAGGGUGCAUCUUUCAGGAGAAAAAGAACAUUCUUUUAGUGCUAUUUCUACUUCCACAUUGAUACGACAAUGAUUCCUACAGCUAAAUUAAGGUUUGACCUCAUGUGUCAAAUGAUUUUUGUUUAGUCAAUAGAUUUUUUUCUAAAUGUUAUCCUCUCCAAAAAAAUCAGAAAUUUAGCAUUUAAGUUAUGCAUGAUCACAAGUACAUAUAUAUAUACACACACAUAUAUAUAUGCAAGAACAGCCUUUUCUUGACAAUAAUUCAAUGCGAGAAAAAUUUAGAUAAAUGUAUUGAAUGUACAAAAGUGUAAUAAAACCCCCUUUAGUUUAAUAGAUAAAAGAGCAUUGUGGGGAGUUUUUUCUUUGCAGGGUUGGAGUAUGUGCUCUGCUCAUGGAAACCAGCUGUCAUGCCACUUCCCAGCACUCGGAGGGAACAGAAACUUGUUUCUUCUCUACUGUUAAAGCAAAAGGGUGUGCCCAAGGCAAAGAUUAGAGUGGCUGUGGAUCUGCAGGUGGUUUUACGUAUUUGCGGUGAGGUCAAAGAAACAUCUUUUUUUGCACUUCUUCUUUUCUCCAAAUUGGGCAUUGCCUGAAAUGGACGCAUUCAGCAGCACUGUGGGAUGAGAUAUGUACAAGGCAUCAUUUCCCUCUAAGGCAAAUACCUUCACUGCUGGCAAACCUUCAGAAUUUGCAAGCUCAGCCAGCACCUUUGACCCGGCCACACAGCUGACAGCACAGUUGGCAGUUGGUAGCUUCCAUUUAUCCUAGGUCAGCUCCCGAGGCAUCGGCAUAAAAUGAAAUAAAGAUUUGAGCAGUCACUUCAGAAAUGAAAAUGGGAAUGCCCAAUAGUUUGCUUCAGUUUGCUCAGGCUGAGAACCAUUUAUUAAGCUGGUAAAAUGGGAAAGUCAUACAUGAGAGUACCUGCUCAGGAGAAAGAAAUAGAUUGAUCAGACACAUUAUCUAAAGAUCCAGAAGAGAAAUCCACUGAUUUCUAACAGUCAACCCACUGAUGGCUUGAGAUGUAGUUGAGACUACCACACAUUUCAGUAGGCAGAUAUUGUCACCUUCAUAUCCUCAGUGCCUAGCACUGUGCCUGGUAGUUUGUGCUUAGUCAGUGAAUGUUUGCGCAAUUAAUGAGUAAAGCCCAUAUGUGUAUAUGUUUAUAAUAAUUAUUUUUUCUAGUUCAUGUAACUAACGAAUGAAAUUCCCAAGUCAUUGUUCUAUGAGGAACAGGAUGAGAAAUAAGGAACUAAUAUUUUUCUUCCUACUGUAUGCUAGACAUACCAAAUUUGCAUAGUGAGAAAUGGUCAAAACAAGAUUGAAAGGUAGGUAUGUUUCAUGCUAAAGUCCA
rnacentral:lncRNA from 1 species